GGUGGCAGAGGAGGAGGACGAGGAGCAGGAACAGCCUCAAAAAAAGAAGAGGAAAGGCGGGAAACCAAGCACUGCAAAGCGCCCG
rnacentral:SRP_RNA from 1 species